rnacentral:misc_RNA from 1 species
UCUCGGCUUAUCACCGGCAGUCCCUCUAGAGUGCCCAACUGAAUGAUGGCAACUAGGGGCGAGGGUUGCGCUCGUUGCGGGACUUAACCCAACAUCUCACGACACGAGCUGACGACAGCCAUGCAGCACCUGUCUCCAGGUUCCCGAAGGCACCCCCACAUCUCUGCGAGGUUCCUAGGAUGUCAAGACCAGGUAAGGUUCUUCGCGUCGCAUCGAAUUAAACCACAUGCUCCACCGCUUGUGCGGGUCCCCGUCAAUUCUUUUGAGUUUUAGCCUUGCGGCCGUACUCCCCAGGCGGAACACUUAACGCGUUGGCUGCGGCACAGAGGGAUUCGACUCCCCCCACACCUAGUGUUCAUCGUUUACGGCAUGGACUAC